rnacentral:rRNA from 1 species
AUUGAACGCUGGCGGCAUGCCUAACACAUGCAAGUCGAACGGCAGCAUGACAAGAGCUUGCUCUUGUUGAUGGCGAGUGGCGGACGGGUGAGUAAUAUGUAGGAAUCUACCUGGAGGUGCGGGAUAACUUAGGGAAACUUAAGCUAAUACAACAUAAGCCCUACGGGGGAAAGCAGGGGAUCUUCGGACCUUGCGCCUUAUGAUGAGCCUACAGUGGAUUAGCUUGUGGGUGGGGUAAAGGCCGACAACGGCGACGAUACAUAGCUGGUCUGGGAGGAUGAUCAGCCACACUGGGAAUGAGACACGGCCCAGACUCCUACGGGAGGCAGCAGUGGGGAAUAUUGGACAAUGGGGGCAACCCUGAUCCAGCAAUGCCGCGUGUGUGAAGAAGGCCUUAGGGUUGUAAAGCACUUUCAGUGGGGAGAAAGUUUGAGGUGAUAAUACCACCAUCAAAUUGAUGUUACCCACAGAAGAAGCACCGGCUAACUCUGUGCCAGCCGCCGCAGUAA